rnacentral:rRNA from 1 species
CUGGAAUAAUACGCCGAAAGGGGUACUAAUACCGGAUACUCUUGCUUUAUAUAAGUUUUGCAAGCAAAGGUGACCUCUGACAUAAGCUACUGCAUAAAGAGGGGUCUGCGUACCAUUAGCUUGUAGGUGGGGUAAUGGCCUACCUAGGCUACGAUGGUUAGCGGGUCUGAGAGGAUGAUCCGCCACACUGGCACUGGAACACGGGCCAGACUCCUACGGGAGGCAGCAGUGAGGAAUAUUGCGCAAUGGGGGCAACCCUGACGCAGCGACGCCGCGUGAGUGAGGAAGGCCUUCGGGUCGUAAAGCUCUGUCAAAGGGAAAGAAAUGUAUAAUGGCUAAUACCUGUUAUAUUUGACGGUACCCUUAAAGGAAGCACCGGCUAACUCCGUGCCAGCAGCCGCGGUAAUACGGAGGGUGCAAGCGUUGUUCGGAAUUACUGGGCGUAAAGGGCGCGUAGGCGGUUUGAUAAGUCAGAUGUGAAAGCCCACGGCUUAACUGUGGAAGUGCAUUUGAUACUGUCAGACUUGAGUACCAGAGGGGAAAGUGGAAUUCCCGGUGUAGAGGUGAAAUUCGUAGAUAUCGGGAGGAAUACCGGUGGCGAAGGCGACUUUCUGGCUGGAUACUGACGCUGA